rnacentral:rRNA from 1 species
UACGUAGGGGGCAAGCGUUGUCCGGAUUUAUUGGGCGUAAAGAGCGUGUAGGCGGCCAGAUAAGUCCGCUGUGAAAUCUCGAGGCUCAACUUCGAGCUGUCGGUGGAAACUGUCUGGCUAGAGUCCGGAAGAGGAGAGUGGAAUUCCUGGUGUAGCGGUGAAAUGCGCAGAUAUCAGGAAGAACACCCGUGGCGAAGGCGGCUCUCUGGGACGGUACUGACGCUGAGACGCGAAAGCGUGGGGAGCGAACAGG